rnacentral:rRNA from 1 species
AGUCCAGACUCCUACGGGAGGCAGCAGUCGGGAAUAUUGCGCAAUGGAGGAAACUCUGACGCAGUGACGCCGCGUAUAGGAAGAAGGUUUUCGGAUUGUAAACUAUUGUCGUUAGGGAAGAUAAAAGACAGUACCUAAGGAGGAAGCUCCGGCUAACUACGUGCCAGCAGCCGCGGUAAUACGUAGGGAGCAAGCGUUAUCCGGAUUUAUUGGGUGUAAAGGGUGCGUAGACGGGAAAUUAAGUUAGUUGUGAAAUCCCUCGGCUCAACUGAGGAACUGCAACUAAAACUGGUUUUCUUGAGUGCAGGAGAGGUAAGUGGAAUUCCUAGUGUAGCGGUGAAAUGCGUAGAUAUCACGCAGAACCCCGAUUGCGAAGGCAGCAUGCCGGCUUCCGACUGACGCUGAAGCACGAAAGCGUGGGGAUCGAACAGGAUUAGAUACCCCCGUAA